CUAUUCAAUCUCUCCGUUGCUGUGCUCAUGCAUUUUCAGAACAAGCUUUUUCAAUGGGGGUGGGUCCACACGUUAACUCACUGAAGCUCAAUAAUUGGCUUCUCCUUCCUUUGUUGAAGUUUUUAGUUAUAUGCAGCACUAAUCAAAAUAAAUAAAUUAAAUUAAAUUAAAAGGAACCAGCUUAACCUAUACUCUUCUCUGAUUUGUGCUUCUUCUUCUUCUGAAUACUGCCUCAGCAAACCAGCACUUGAAGAACAUCGAUCAAUAGCUGAAUCCAGAGCCACUGAUCAAAAUGCUUCGACGGGAUGGUCCGGUUUUGCAUCGUGUUGACACAUCUUUUUGGGAAUAUGUUGAAAAGAUGGAUGAUCGUAGCAUGAGGUGUAAGUUUUGUGGGCAUUUUUUUGCCGAAGGUACUUCCAUUACGAGGAUCAAACACCACUUGUCAGGAAGGAAACGUGGUGGUGCUAAAAAUUGUGCACAAGUGCCUCAAAAUGUCCAGGAUGCAGCCCUUGCAGCAAUUGAUGGCCCUCCAGCAAAAAAACCUAAACCUCUAGGUGGCUCAAGCAAUAACGAGGUCACUAAUGCAAUUUCAGCUUCAGCACAACAACAGAACAAUGAAAUGAUGAUGGCACACCAACGAGAAGAUCUUUCGCUCGAAGACAUGGAGCUUCAGGAGAGAGGCGCAACAGAAAGAUUAGCGCAGCCUGGCGUAGGUGGAAGCUCUUCUGGACUCAAUGUGAAUCAUACUGCCAUUUCAACCAGUCCACAAGAACAAAACAAUGAAGUCUACAAUUUGACAGGAGAUGGAACAAGUAUACAAGCACGAGAUAUGUAUGAAAAAAGCUGGGUGGAGAUAAUUAAUUCGUUAAUGGAUGAUGGUAUGCAGAAUACGAUUGGAGUAGCGCAGCCUGGCGCAGGAGCUAGCUCUUCUGGAGUCCUUAAAUACAACCCAAGUGAGACGAGAGGAGCUCCUCUACCAACUGGCUCUACAAAGCUAGUGGGUCGAGCAUUUGAAGAGAAUAAAAAUGUGAUAUGGUCUUGGUUGAUGGAUGAUAAAGUCUCUAUCAUUAGCAUUUGUGGGAUGGGAGGAGCUGGCAAAACCACAAUGCUAAAACAUAUCUAUAACGAACUUCUACUAGCAGAUAUUUCUCAUCAUGUUUACUGGGUGACCGUGUCUCAAAAUUUCAGCAUUCUUACAAUGCAGAAGAAGAUCGCAAAACGUAUAAAGUUAUCUCUUUCCAAUGAAGAGGAGGAGGAGCACAUAGCUGCGGAAUUGUCAUUAGAACUAAUGAAGAAACAAAAAUGGAUUUUAAUUUUAGAUGAUUUGUGGAACUCAUUUGAGCUACACGAAGUGGGAAUUCCCGUCCCAUUAAAAGGAUGCAAGCUAAUUAUGACAACUCGAUCAAAAGAGGUUUGUGGACGAAUGGAUUGCCGAAACAAUAUCAUAGUGAAUCCUCUUUCUGAUGUAGAUGCUUGGACUUUGUUCAGGGAGAUCCUUGGACAUGACACACAUCUCUCUACAGAAGUGGAACAAAUUGCAAAAUCUAUCACAAAGGAGUGUGAUGGUUUGCCGCUAGGAAUUAAAACAAUGGCUGGAACCAUGAAGGUGGUGGAUGGCAUACACGGGUGGAGUAAUGCUUUAGAACGACUGAGACAAUCAAGAGUUGGGCCAAAUGGCAUGGAAAGGGUAUUUUCAUCAUUGAGAUUUAGUUACACGCACCUAAGCAAUGAAGCUAUGCAAAAAUGUUUCUUGUAUUGUGCAUUAUUUCCAGAAGACUCUGCUAUCAAUAGACUGGAAUUGAUACUUUAUUUGAUUGAUAUGGGAGUGAUACAAGGGCUGACGAGUAGGAAGGCAGAAUUUGAUGAAGGCCAUUCCAUGCUUGAUAAACUUGAAAAAGUCUGCCUAUUGGAAAGAAAACGUCUUGGUGGUGCUGUAAUGAUGCAUGACUUGAUUAGGGACAUGGCCAUCCAAAUACUGGAAGAGAACUCUAGAGCCAUUGUUAAAGCCGGUGCACAAUUAAAAGAAUUGCCGGAUACAGAGGAGUGGACAGACAAACUUACGACCGUUUCACUAAUGCACAACCAAAUUGAAGAGAUUUGUUCCAGCCAUUCAGUGAGGUGUCCAAAUCUGUCAACCUUAUUGCUGUGUAGUAAUCAUAGGUUGCGAUUCAUUGCGGGUUCAUUUUUCGAGCAAAUGCAUGGGCUCAAGGUCCUCGAUCUGUCUGAAACAGCUAUUGAAUGUUUGCCUGAUUCUGUCUCUGAUUUGGUGGGUCUCACUUCACUGUUGCUCAAACAUUGUCGGAGGUUAAGCCGUGUACCAACAUUGAAAAAGCUCAGGGCACUGAAGAGGUUAGAUCUCGCUCGUGCUCCACUUGAAGAGAUUCCUCAUGGCAUGGAAUGUCUAUCCAGCCUGAGGUAUCUAAGAAUGAAUGGAUGUGGUGAAAAUAAGUUUCCCUGUGGGAUAUUACCUAAACUCUCUCACCUGCAAGUCUUUAAACUAGAGGAACAGAUUCUUAGUGAUCGUAGAUGGGGGGAAACAAGUAUGCAGGUGGAAAGAUAUGCUCCAGUAACAGUUGAAGGAAAGGAAGUAGGAUGCUUGAGGAAGUUGGAAAGUUUGGAAUGCCAUUUUGAAGAUCACUCUAACUACGUGGAGUAUUUCAAAUCUCGGGAUGAGACCCAAUCACUAAGCACAUACAAAAUUGCUAUAGGACAGUUCAGGGAAGACGAAUUUAGGGAAUUAAAGUACAGUGGUCCCGGAAGUAAAAUGGUUGUGUUGGGUAAUUUGAAUAUCAAUAAAGAUGGAGAUUUUCAGGUCAUCUCCUCAAAUGACAUUCAACAACUAAUUUGUGAAUGUAUCAAUGCGAGAAGUUUAGGCGAUGUUUUGUCAUUAAAGUAUGCAACUGAACUGGAGUAUAUCAAGAUUUUGAAUUGCAAUAGCAUGGAGAGCUUGGUUUCAUCUUCUUGGUUAUGCUCUGCUCCACUACCACAGCCAUCUCCAUCUUAUAAUGGUAUAUUUUCUGGUCUUAAAUGGUUAUGUUUUUCUGGAUGUAUGGGUAUGAAGAAGUUGUUCCCUCCUGUCUUGUUGCCAUACCUUGUAAACCUGGAAAGGAUUGAUGUUGAACAGUGUGAGAAAAUGGAGGAGAUAAUAGGUGGAGCAAGAUCGGUUGAAGAAGGGGAUAUGGGUGAAGAAAGCAGCAUCAGAAACACCGAAUUCAAACUCCCAAAGGUGGGAGCUCUGCAAUUGAGAGAUUUACCAGAACUAAAAAGCAUUUGUAAUGCAAAACUGAUUUGCGAUUCUCUCCAAGUAAUUGGAGUAUGGAAUUGUGAGAAGAUGAAGAGGAUGGGAAUUUGUCUUCCGUUACUUGAAAAUGGGCAGCCAUCUCCUCCCCCUUCUCUUAGAGUAAUAUGUAUAAAACCAAAAGAAUGGUAGGAGUCAGUAGUGGAGUGGGAGCAUCCUAACGCCAAGGAUGUCCUUCGUCCUUUCGUAAUGUUUGGACAAGAUGGGCGGUUUUGCGGGUUCUGAGCAGGCGUGGAUGAGUGCAGGGUUGCUCACGUCGAACUGGAAUAAUAAUUUAAAAUAUUAAUAAUAGGAAAUUUAAUUAUUGGUAGGCUCAAGAGAUAUGUUUACUCUACUUUGAUUAUUGUUCUUUGUUUAUAUUGCCAGUUUAUAUAUAAUGAGCACAAAUUAUCUUUUUCA